rnacentral:rRNA from 1 species
AUUGAACGCUGGCGGCAUGCUUUACACAUGCAAGUCGAACGGUAACAGGGUGCUUGCACCGCUGACGAGUGGCGAACGGGUGAGUAAUGCGUCGGAACGUGCCGAGUAGUGGGGGAUAACGCAGCGAAAGUUGUGCUAAUACCGCAUACGUACUGAGGUAGAAAGUGGGGGACCUUCGGGCCUCACGCUAUUCGAGCGGCCGAUGUCUGAUUAGCUAGUAGGUGAGGUAAAGGCUCACCUAGGCGACGAUCAGUAGCGGAUCUGAGAGGAUGAUCCGCCACACUGGGACUGAGACACGGCCCAGACUCCUACGGGAGGCAGCAGUGGGGAAUUUUGGACAAUGGGCGAAAGCCUGAUCCAGCCAUGCCGCGUGUCUGAAGAAGGCCUUCGGGUUGUAAAAGACUUUUGUCAGGGAGGAAAUCCCUAGUGCUAAUAACACUGGGGGAUGACAGUACCUGAAGAAUAAGCACCGGCUAACUACGUGCCAGCCGCCGCCGUAA